rnacentral:lncRNA from 1 species
ACGCCAUUGUGAGAGGAAGAGAAGGGAGGCAGAGCGGCAUCGACGGCCGAGAGCAGAGAGCAGGAUUGACGACGACCGCGAGAAGGGGAGAGAAGAGAGGGAAGGAGAUGCAACGGAAGAGGAACUGAGAGAGAGAGAGAGAGAGGUCGCAAGGAGGAGAUGCGACGGCUUUAAAGAAGCAGAGAUGGAAGGAGAUGCGACGGGUUUGAGGAAGUGAGAGAGAGAAGAAGAAGCAUUUCGGCCCUGGUGGAGAAGACGCAGGUCGGCUUUGAAGAUUGAAAUGGAUUUCGGCUUUGAAGAUGGAGAAGCAGGAGAGGUGAAGAAAAAAUAAAUUGG